rnacentral:rRNA from 1 species
UACGUAGGUGGCAAGCGUUGUCCGGAUUUAUUGGGCGUAAAGCGAGUGCAGGCGGUUCGAUAAGUCUGAUGUGAAAGCCUUCGGCUCAACCGGAGAAUUGCAUCAGAAACUGUCGAGCUUGAGUACAGAAGAGGAGAGUGGAACUCCAUGUGUAGCGGUGAAAUGCGUAGAUAUAUGGAAGAACACCGGUGGCGAAGGCGGCUCUCUGGUCUGUUACUGACGCUGAGGCUCGAAAGCAUGGGUAGCGAACAGG